rnacentral:lncRNA from 1 species
UAAUAAUAGGGAUAUUUUGAAACACUUCUAAAAAUAUAGUGACUAAAAAGAUAUUAACCUCAAAAUAUAGAAAUUAAACAAGUUUUUAUUCAAAAAUCCUGUGUAGCCUGACUUUACUAGAAUUUGCAAACAAAUGCAAAUACCAUUAGUCUUCCAAAACACAUGCUACUUUUCAUCAACAGCCUGUAAAAUACCAUUAGAAGAGAUAUUUGUGCCAUUUCCUAAGGAUCAUCAAACUCAAAACAAAAGAGUUUUUGUGAGGCACCAUAUCAGCUUGUAAAAUGCCACUGCAUUGACUAAUAGUCGAAAAUGACAAGAAGGAUAGAAAGGAAAUUUUAAAAUACAUUUCAGAUAUUAUGUCAUUAAUAUAAUAAAUAAAUAAUUUUAUAAUAUAAGUACAUUUAUUUGAAAGAACUGAUAUAUAAUUAGUGGUUAUAAAAAAUUUAAAUACACAUAUUCUAGAAUUUCUCAUAAAAGAGAGACAACGUAUUUCAUUUUUUUUCUUCUUAAUUUUGCUGCAUUACACUGUAGUGCGGUGCAUGAGCCACAUGCGUUUGAAAAAAUAGUCUAGUCGGUAUUGGCCUGUCCGGGAGUCAGAGCCUGUCCUUUUUGACACAGUGAUAACAUACUACAUCAAUGUGCAAUUCAUAAGCACAUGCGCAUACAAAAUUAGACUCUAGUUGGUGGGGGCUUGUUCGGGGAGCCUCUCUUUUUUGACACAAGAUGAAGCAAAUUAUUAACCAUCAAAUCACAACUUGAGAAGUUUCAUGAAAAAUGAAAAUAAUAGAAAUACAAGUGACUAACAAUGUACAUUUUGGUGUCUUUAUUUUUAGAGUCUUGUAGACAGUAACGGCUCAAUCAAUUAUGGGUUUUUAGGGGAAUUGUUUCAAUUAGACUUUUCAAAAAAUUUAAGGUUAAAUACAUGUAUUAAUUUUA